rnacentral:rRNA from 1 species
GACGAACGCUGGCGGCGUGCCUAAUACAUGCAAGUCGAACGCGUCUACGUUAAUGAAAUCAAUGUGCUUGCACGGCGAUGGAUUUAACAUUAGACGAGUGGCGAACUGGUGAGUAACACGUGGGUAACCUGCCCUCAAGCAGGGGAUAACACUUGGAAACAGGUGCUAAUACCGUAUAACCAUGAUGACCGCAUGGUCAUGAUGUAAAAGGUGGUUUUGCUAUCGCUUUUGGAUGGACCCGCGGCGUAUUAACUAGUUGGUAAGGUAACGGCUUACCAAGGUGAUGAUACGUAGCCGAACUGAGAGGUUGAUCGGCCACAAUGGGACUGAGACACGGCCCAUACUCCUACGGGAGGCAGCAGUAGGGAAUCUUCCACAAUGGGCGCAAGCCUGAUGGAGCAACGCCGCGUGAAUGAAGAAGGUCUUCGGAUCGUAAAGUUCUGUUAUUAGAGAAGAACACGUGUAAGAGUAACUGAUUAUGCGUUGACGGUAUCUAAUCAGCAAGUCACGGCUAACUACGUGCCAGCCGCCGCCG